GUUUCAUCCAACAAUAUCCUUUUCACUGUCCAGGAGAAUGGUAAUUGCUUGAAGGGGGUGAUGAUGGUGGUAAAUAAUUGCAAUGAAUGUAUAAAAAUCGCAGAUAGUGAGACGAAUCAAUAUGAGAAUUAGGAAGGAUGCAAAUAUUUUAGAGAGUUUUUGGAACACAUAAGAAUACAUUAAUACUUCUCAGAUGAUAACUUAUACUAGGGAAUAUGGAAAUUCAGUGGAGUGGCACAGACCCACUCAACGCUCA
rnacentral:misc_RNA from 1 species